rnacentral:rRNA from 1 species
CCGCCCGUCACAUCAUGAAAGUUGGAUACGCCUGAAGCCGGUGGCCUAACUCGCAAGAGAGGGAGCCGUCGAGGGCGGAGCCAGCGAUUGGGACG